UACGGAGGGUGCAAGCGUUAAUCGGAAUUACUGGGCGUAAAGCGCGCGUAGGCGGUUAGGUAAGUCGAUUGUGAAAUCCCCGGGCUCAACCUGGGAAUGGCAGUGGAGACUGGCAAGCUAGAGUGCGGUAGAGGAUAGUGGAAUUCCCGGUGUAGCGGUGAAAUGCGUAGAGAUCGGGAGGAACACCAGUGGCGAAGGCGGCUAUCUGGACCAGCACUGACACUCAGACACGAAAGCGUGGGGAGCAAACAGG
rnacentral:rRNA from 1 species